rnacentral:lncRNA from 10 species
CCUUUUUGGCCUUUAACCUUCCUCCACGUAAGGACACAGUGAACAAGGUGCCAUCUUGGAAACAAACAGCAGCCUUCACCAGACACCAGACCUUCUGGCACCUUGACCUUGCGCUUUCCAGCCUCCAGAACCGUGAGAAAUCAAUGUUUAUUGUUUAUAAAUUACCCAAUCUGUGGUAUUUUUUUAAAACAGCAUAAUGGGACUAAGACACCAUCAGAACUUGGGACCAAAAGAAUACUUUUGCCCUCUGAGAGCUGAUUCUUAACACAGAAUAAAAAUGAAGAAUUACUUUAAAGAGAUGGACUACCUCAAGGGACUAGAACUAUUGCCACUGAGGGCAGGUGAAAGUUCAGCCAACUCGGAACCCGGAGGCCCCACCUUACCUCCCUUUGUGAAGAGCCCAGAGCCUUUGUCCAAAGCUGCAUCACUUCCCACCCAGCCCUUCCUGAGCCAACUCCCCGAUGUCUCCAGAAGAACACAGUCGGCAUCAUCGUGAUAACAUCAGGGAAACUCCUAUUUCCAGCAGUUUCUCCUUCAGCUGCAAAAAUGUGCAGCAGUAGACAGGGCGUGGGUUUUUGAAGUCUCUGCAGGAAGUAGAGUUAUUUUCUCAGCACCACAUCUGAGCGCAUCUUCUAAGGGUGGCCGACUGUGUGGGAGCUGCAGGAGCUCAGCCGGGAUGCAGCCCUCCCAUUCCCCACCCUGUCCACUACCACCACGCCUGGAUCCGACAGGCAGGGCAGGACCCCAUGCCACGUGGUAACUGUUAAGGAAAAUGGAGCCA